CCGGGUUAAAACACACGGAUCUCCUUUCCCUUACUUCUCUCUUUCCUGACAGACGAGUAGAGAGAGAAAGCGGAGAGACGAUAUUCAAACGACGAAGAAGAAAUCGGAGAAGAUCCAACGACGAAGAAGAAAUCGAACAAGGGCUCGAUUAAAGAAGAUUAAGGCUCGAUUAGGUUUCGAUUACAGCUUGAUUUUAGAAACCCUACACGAUUUGAACGAG